AAGUUCAUUGGUCAGCAGUGUGUCAGGUUGGAUGCUGUGGGCGCCUGGCCUCUGAAGGUCACUCGAGGCUCACUGUACAGCUGUCGCUUGCCAGGCAGCCCGAGAGAGUUCUGGCGAGGGCUGCGGGAAGGAAAGGGGGCGGCGUCCUUCACAGGGAGGGUGCAGCUGACCUCCCUCCCCUUGUGCAGACUGGAAAAGAAUGGCCCAGAUCCUCUGGACUCCUCAGAUGAGCGGAUUCAGAGAGAAGCUUUUGAGAGCGUGCUGGCGGAGACAUUUUUCACAAAAGAGCCCUUGCGGUGCUGGUGUCCGUGGCGUGCCUGGGAAGGCCCACCAACGCUGGCCGGCCUCCAAGCACCCGGGCCUCUGCUCAUGUACAGCUCCUGAACUGCCCUGCCUCUGAGUUACUGUGGAAAAUGAGCUUAUAUAUGAAGAAGUCAGCGAGUGGACAAAGCCAGGCGCAAUGGAUAGCAAAGAUGUGGAAGUCUCCUCGAUUCAAGUUACAAGAAAACCGCAGCAUGGAGUCUGCUCUCAGCUGUUGGGGAAUUACCGAUGCCUUUGACUAAGUCAAGACUGACUUUUCCAGAAUAUCACCCAAGAGAUAGAGCCGUCCCUGUCCAAGUUUGUGCGCUAGCCCUUCAUGGAGGUCAGAGAGGAAGAAACAAAGGCAGCUGUGGCCUCGGCGGUCACAGUGUCAGAACGCACAAGCCCCAUAAAGAGGUUUCACGCAGGCCACCCAUCCCUUUUCAUUCUCCAGCAGAACAGGACAGAGAGCGUUCUGUUCUGCGGAAGGUCUUCCACUCUACAAGGCAAUCCCUCCAGCUGCUUUGCUGUAUUGUGCUGUCUCCUGUCACACUAUGAAUGCAGUGACCUCAGCCAGCAACAGGGAGAACCCCCCUGCCUCCCGAACAAAGGACCUCACGUGAAAUCCUGAGCUCAGAGCUUACAGAUAUGUGUGCGCUUUCACUUUACAUCGGCCGUGACUUCCAAACAACUUCAGGAAACUUUAGGAUCUCUGAGGUAUACUGGAGAUGACAGCAGCGUAGAAUGUUCAUUUGGAUUUAGAACAGAAAUGCUUAUUUUAUAUUUGGCUGCUCCCAAACUGUCCCCAGACUUCCUCUCCAGUGGUUACCCUCCACUGCCCUGGAUGUCCCACGUUUACACUCCACACUCACACCUCCACCUUAACAAAGUCCUCCACUGGGUCAAACCAUACAUCGCUUCGUCUCUGUAGUGAUGACUUCCUGUCCUCUGCUCUGUGGAUAAAGACCCCAGAUAAAGAUGCCUGUGUUGCUCAACUCUUGUAAAUACUCUUGAGACAUUUUGAAAGCAGAAGGAAAGGAGACAGACGGGGAAAAUAAAAGGGAUGGUCUGCUUGUGCGGAAACGUUUUGAGAAUGCCCUUCCCUAAGAGAGAACAGUAAAAGUGAGCAAUACUUCCUGAGCUGUGGGUUCAUAUGGCUGGACUGUGCUGUUUCUCACGGGAGAAGUUCUCGUCUCCCCUGCGUGUACAUCCCUGUUUGCCAGCCUGGCCUUCGGUGUGGUGAUAUCAUGGUGCACUCCCAGGAGGGAAGUGCUUGGUCAAGACUUCUGCUUGGGUUCGACUAUCAGUUCUGGUUUCCUUUAAGGCACAGGAUCUUCCCUUUAAGGCACAAACACCCCCUUGACACAAAGUAAGGGACAAGGGAACUUUAAACCAUUUGGAAACCCAAGCACAAUAGGCUGUAGGUUGUAAAAAGAAAUUACAAAGGUAAUUUUAUCCAGAAGAGGGAGCAGUUUAACUUCUGCAGGGUAAGAUUCAGAUUCACUUUUGUAACUGAACAGGGAAUUUUCUAAAUAUUUUGAAAAUGCCGAAACAUUUCCUGUUGGCAUUUCACAGAAACGUUCAAAGUUCCCUAA
ensembl:lncRNA SERPINB9P1 serpin family B member 9 pseudogene 1